GUGAUAUGUGUAUAUAUGUAUUUAUUUAUUUCCAUUUUCCAUUGAAGAAACUAAGUGAGGUGACUAUUAAAACUCUUUCAAAUUGCAUCAUCAAUGAUAAUAUGCCACUUGUUUGGUGUAUAAUGGAGCUUACCUAAUCCUAAUGGCCAAUAGAUUGCUGGAUUAUUGGUCGUGGGACCUGUUCAUGGCCUAUGCUUUUUUGCCUAAAAGUGAUUUGUAAUUAGGUUUUCCGUAUGAUUAAUUAAUAUACCUUAUAAGGUUGCAAAGGCCAUCUACUUCAAAUAAAUACAAAAUUUGAAACUAAGUGAGGUGACUAUUAAAACUCUUUCAAAUUGCAUCAUCAAUGAUAAUAUGCCACUUGUUUGGUGUAUAAUGGAGCUUACCUAAUCCUAAUGGCCAAUAGAUUGCUGGAUUAUUGGUCGUGGGACCUGUUCAUGGCCUAUGCUUUUUUGCCUAAAAGUGAUUUGUAAUUAGGUUUUCCGUAUGAUUAAUUAAUAUACCUUAUAAGGUUGCAAAGGCCAUCUACUUCAAAUAAAUACAAAAUUUGUAUAGUACUGUUGAUCCCUAAUUUGAGUGACUGAUUGAAAGCGACAUAUUAUAUUUUUGCACUAAAUCAGAUUGUCGAGUAAUUUGUUAUGAUUUUAGUACGACUACAUGAAUUUUUUCUUGUCAAC
rnacentral:lncRNA from 1 species